rnacentral:rRNA from 1 species
GACGUAGGGUGCGAGCGUUGUCCGGAUUUAUUGGGCGUAAAGAGCUUGUAGGCGGUUUGUCGCGUCUGCUGUGAAAUUUCGGGGCUCAACCCCGAACUUGCAGUGGGUACGGGCAGACUAGAGUGCGGUAGGGGAGAUUGGAAUUCCUGGUGUAGCGGUGGAAUGCGCAGAUAUCAGGAGGAACACCGAUGGCGAAGGCAGAUCUCUGGGCCGUAACUGACGCUGAGGAGCGAAAGCGUGGGGAGCGAACAGG